ACAUUUUAGUCUGUUCUCACCCAAACCCAAUUAGAUCUCUUCAGAAGACAUGGAUUAAACCACUGGAGUCUUAUGGAUUACUUUUAUGCUGCCUUUAUGUGCUUUUUGAAGCUUCAAAAUGUUGGUCACCAUUCGCUUGCACUAUAUGGACCUACAGAACUGAGAUAUUCUUCAAAAAAUUCUUCAUUUGUGCUCAGCAGAAGAAAGUCAUACAAAUAUGGGAUGGCAUGAGGGUCGAGCGAGCAUCCUGUUUACGGACUAGAGAAGCUGCUCCCGUUAGGUCUGGAUAUUUGACUUGGCACAGGUUUUACUCCGGAUGCCCUUCCUGACGCAACCCCAGUGGCUGACACUCACUCACACCUACGGUGCAAUUUUAGAGUCUCCAAUUCACUUAACCUGCAUGUUUUUCGACUUGUGGGGGAAACCAGAGCGAACACAGGGAGAACAUGCAAACUCCCCACAGAAAAGCCCAGCUGAGCCGGGACUCAAACCUGGGACCUUCUUGCUGUGAGGCGACAGUGCUAACCACUGAGCCACCGUGCCAACCCAAAACAAUUCAUACAAAUCAUUACAGUAGAAGAACAAGAGGAAAUAUUUUGAAUAUUGUCUUGGACAAUGGGGGGCCUUGGCUUCAAAAAGGUUGAGAACCACUGGCAAACUAAAACACUCCCGUUAUAAUCAACGUAGCAGUGCACACUUCAAUUGCAAUGUGACCUGACAAAACUAGAACACUUGCAUUACAAUCAACAAAGCUGUCUACACUGCAAGCGCAACACAACAAAACUAGAUCACUUGUAUUAUAUCAACGAAGCCAUCUACACAUUUCGCGUUUGCAGUGUAGACAUCUAUCUUCGUAGAUCAAAAUAAGAGCAUAAAUAAAAUAAUUCUAGCUAGUUGUGGUGUCAAAGCUUGCAGUGUAGACUGGAACUAGAAACAGCUGUGAGCCAACAGCAAAACAGACGCAGACAAACACACACAAACACGCUGCCAGCAAACACUUUUGCUAUGCAAAUUUAAGGGCGGUGGCGUGCUUUCCGCAUGAAAACACACGUAAAAACCACGCUGUGGGACAUAAACACCAUGUGUUCACUCUGAGGGACUAAAAACGAAAACAAAAGUAGCGAGAAUCAUCUGUCAGGUACUAGGCCUCUCUUAGGGUCAGAGAUCGAUUGUCUUUAUAUUGGGAAUGAUAAAAUAUUAAAUUAAACAUACA